rnacentral:rRNA from 1 species
UACCACCCUUUAAUGUUUGAUGUUCUAACGUGGACCCGUGAUCCGGGUUGCGGACAGUGUCUGGUGGGUAGUUUGACUGGGGCGGUCUCCUCCUAAAGAGUAACGGAGGAGCACGAAGGUUGGCUAAUCCUGGUCGGACAUCAGGAGGUUAGUGCAAUGGCAUAAGCCAGCUUGACUGCGAGCGUGACGGCGCGAGCAGGUGCGAAAGCAGGUCAUAGUGAUCCGGUGGUUCUGAAUGGAAGGGCCAUCGCUCAACGGAUAAAAGGUACUCCGGGGAUAACAGGCUGAUACCGCCCAAGAGUUCAUAUCGACGGCGGUGUUUGGCACCUCGAUGUCGGCUCAUCACAUCCUGGGGCUGAAGUAGGUCCCAAGGGUAUGGCUGUUCGCCAUUUAAAGUGGUACGCGAGCUGGGUUUAGAACGUCGUGAGACAGUUCGGUCCCUAUCUGCCGUGGGCGCUGGAGAACUGAGGGGGGCUGCUCCUAGUACGAGAGGACCGGAGUGGACGCAUCACUGGUGUUCGGGUUGUCAUGCCAAUGGCACU